GAGUUUGAUCCUGGCUCAGGACGAACGCUUGCGGCGUGCCUAAGAAAUGCAAGUCGAACGGGAGACUUCGGUCUCUAGUGGCGAACGGUCGCGUAACACGUAGGCAACCUGCCCUGAAGUGGGGGAUAACAACUCGAAAGAGUUGCUAAUACCGCAUGUGGCCCACGGCUCGCAUGAGUUGUGGUCUAAAGCUUAAUGCGCUUCGGGAUGGGCUUGCGGCCUAUCAGCUUGUUGGUGGGGUAAUGGCUCACCAAGGCGAUGACGGGUAGCUGGUCUGAGAGGACGAUCAGCCGGAUUGGGACUGAGAUACGGCCCAGACUCCUACGGGGGGCAGCAAUUAGGAAUCUUGCGCAAUGGGGGCAACCCUGACGCAGCGACGCCGCGUGCGGGAUGAAGGCAUUCGUGUCGUAAACCGCUUUUAAGAGAGAAGAAUAAAAUGACGGUACCUCUUGAAUAAGCCCCGGCUAACUACGUGCCAGCAGCCGCGGUAAUACGUAGGGGGCGAGCGUUGUCCGAAGUUACUGGGCGUAAAGCGCGCGUAGGCGGUUCUUUAAGUCUGGUGUGAAAGGUUUGGGCUCAACCCGAACAGUGCACUGGAUACUGGGGGACUUGAGUUAGGGAGAGGAGAGUGGAAUUCCUGGUGUAGCGGUGAAAUGCGUAGAUAUCAGGAGGAACACCGAUGGCGAAGGCAGCUCUCUGGUCCUAUACUGACGCUGAGGUGCGAAAGCGUGGGGAGCGAACGGGAUUAGAUACCCCGGUAGUCCACGCCGUAAACGAUGAGUGCUAAGUGUCAGGGGUAUCGACCCCCCUGGUGCCGCCGUUAACACAUUAAGCACUCCGCCUGGGGAGUACGGCCGCAAGGUUGAAACUCAAAGGAAUUGACGGGGGCCCGCACAAGCGGUGGAGCAUGUGGUUUAAUUCGUCACUAACCGAAGAACCUUACCCAGGCUUGACAUCGCGUGUAAAGCCAUGAAAGUGGCUCCUCCCUUCGGGGACACAAAGACAGGUGUUGCAUGGCUGUCGUCAGCUCGUGUCGUGAGAUGUUGGGUUAAGUCCCGCAACGAGCGCAACCC
rnacentral:rRNA from 1 species